rnacentral:misc_RNA from 1 species
AAAGUCGUAACAAGGUUUCCGUAGGUGAACCUGCGGAAGGAUCAUUACCAAAUCCAAAAAAAACUUUAUCAACACCCUUAUGUGAACUGAGAAACCGUUUCGUUCCCUGAGAGAACAACAACAACAGCACAAAGAAGGCAGAUUUUUUUUAAAAAAAUUUAUCUUCUGGACCUUUUGUUUUUUCUCAGGGAAUGUUUAUUUUUCAACCCCUUUACAACCUAUUCUACCCAUACAUUUAUGCUGAAAGCAAAAAAAAAACGAAACAUGAGACAACUUUUAACGGUGGAUCUCUUGGCUCGU